AAAAAUAUUCAUAUUCAGGUAAUCAUGGAAAAUCAUUUACGAUAUUGUACAAAUUAGUCCUACAGGUCACUACACAUAAAAAUUAACUCCAGAUGAGUGUGAGUGCAAUUUGAUGUAUCAAUGUGAUUGAGUCAUGGGAUGCCCAGAUAGUCUGUUAAACUUUGUAUCUAGGUAUGUCUGUAAGGAUGUUGCUAUUUUAAUUAGUGGACUAAGUAAAGAGGAUUGCCUUUCCCAGUGUGGGCAGGUAUCAUCCAAUCCCCUGAGGACCUAAACAGAAUAAAAAGGCAGAGAAUAGAGAAUUUGCAUUCUUUGUUUAAACUGAAUUAUUUUUCUUCUGCCCUAUGACUAGGACUUACAUCAUAGAUUCUCCAAUCAGCAGGUCUUUGGACUUGGGAUGAGUAUACCUAAUCAGUUCUCCCAGUUUUCAUGCCUUCAAAGUGGGGUGGGAACUGCAUCACCAGUCUUCCUGGGUCUCCAUCAUAUCAUGGAACUCAUCUGUCUCUAUAAAUCACUUGAGUUAAUUCCUUAUAAUAAAUUCCUUCACAAAUAGACAUGAUAGGUAGAAAGAUAGAUUGAAUUCAUAGAAUAUACUGAUUUAUGUUAUAGAUACAUAUGACAUAUAAAAUUUUAUAUAUCCAUUGAUACAUACAUAUGAUUCACAUAUAUCUUAUGAUAUAUAUAAAUAUAUCUACAUCUAUAUCUAUCAAUGUAUAUAUAUACAUUGUUAUUUCUCUAGAGAAGAUUGAGUAAUACAAUGGGUUAUAGAUCUAAAUUUAAAAGCUAUAUUAGAAAAGCUAAAUCUAUAUUAUAUUUCUAGAAGAAAACAUAUAUGUAUUCAUGAUAGCAGAAUGGGAAAAUAUUUAUUAGCCAAGUCAUAAAUGAUAAUGAUCAUUUCAAAAGAAAAAAGAUUAAGCUGAAUUCUAUCAAAAUUUAAAAGUACUGCUCAGUAAAAACAUAUUUAAAAUAUGAAAUAUUCAAAAAUACAACUGACAAAGGAAUCACAUCCAGAAUAUAUUUUGAAAACACCUAUAAAUCAACAAAAGAAAGAAAAUAACUCAAUUUUUAAAGAUUGAGCUAAAGAUUUGAAAAGGUAUUUCAUAACAAAAGAUACAUGAAUGUCCAAUUAGCACAUGAAAGAGUUCAAUAUUAUUAGCUAUGGAUGAAUUGCAAAUUAAAAUUUCAAUGAGAAGAGUUCUCUGGUGGCUCAGCAGGUUAAGGAUCCAGCAUUGUCAACUGCAGAGGCUCUGGCUACUGCUGUGGCACCAGUUCAAUCCAUGGUCCAAGAACUUCCACAUGCCAUGAGCAUAACCAAAAAUAAAAAAGUAAAUAAAUAAAUAAAAUUUUUAAAAUUCAAUGAGAUACCACACUCAUCCAAAUGUUACUAUUCAACUCACAAACAAUAAGAAGUCACAUCAAGGAUGUGGUACAACUGGACUUUUAUGUACAAAGUUGGUGAGAGCUAAGAGGACAACUGCCAUGGAAAACUCUUGCAGUGUCUAACCUCUGACCCAGCAAUUCUACUCCUAGGAUAUUCCACUCCAAGAGAAUUUUUUUUUUUUACAAGGACUUCUUCAAAGAAGUUCAUGGAACUUGAUUCAUAAUAACCCAAAAUAGAAAUAACAUAAAUAUCCAUCAACAGAAACUAGGAUAAAUAUCCUGUGAUCUAUUCAUAUAAUGAAAUAACACUCAGCUAUCGAAAUAAACAUACUGUUGAUACAAUUAGCAACAUGAAUAAAUCUCAAAAACAAGGUAAAGGAAAGAAGCCAGAUCCAAAAGAAACAAACUAAGUUCAAGAACAGACAUACUAAUUUGUGAUGAUAAAAAAAUAAGAGUAAUGUCUACUUGUGUUAGAGGAAAUGGGAGAUGGGGAGCGUGAUUGGGAAGGGAAAAGAGGAAAAUUUCUGGACUAUUAUUAAUGUUGUAUAUCCUGAUCUUGAUAUUACUUACUUAGCUGUAGAGAUAUAUCAUAAUUCAUCAAGCUAUCCACUUAAUAUUUGUGUGCAUAACAUGUAAAAUAUGCAUCAAUAAAUUAUCAUUAAGAAAACUCAAAAGAGACAAGGGAACCAUUUUCUUUUCAUGUAAGAACAAAACGAAACAAAACAACCCAAGCAUAUUCUAAAUCUGACCACCUUUCAUUUGAUGUGAUAAACACGAUAAACACCACAAUAAUUAUGCAGUCAGACCAAUACAUACUGUACGAAACUGUUCAGAAAAAACUACUCAGUAAAUACAUCCAUUGGGGAAAAAAAGAAAUUUAGCAUUUAAAUAUUAAAAACUUUUAAGAAAUGUAUGAACUGAUCAAAAUAUGGGGAUUUUAGAAAAAUCUGCAUUCAAAAAAUGCUUAAAAUUUAUAGAUCAAUUAAGUAUAUAUAAAACAUAGCACUUAUGGGAGGUUUAGAAGUUUAAAUCCUAACUGAAAUCUGAUAUAUAAAUAAAAUAUUCUUGUGUUGUAAUUAUUUUAAUUACAUUUUAUAGAAACUGUAUCAUUCAGAGAUAUACCAUCCAAUGUUUACAUAAACAUAUAAAUUUAAAUCUCCUUAAUAAAAAGUAGAAUAAACAAACCAUCCAAACAUUAGGCUAGAAGCUAUUUUAUAAUGAGGAAAGCAAAAAGGAUAAAAUAAUUGUGCCAAGUAUCUUUUGCACAUAAAUCAUAAACACUAGCUAUGUCUGAUACGAUGGGAUGUUUGAUUUACAUGAGUACAGAUCCAUUCAUUUACCUUCUGAUAAAUUGGAGUGGGAUUACCCAAAGCAUAGAAAUGGUAUUACAGUAUCGUAAGGAUGACCUAGCAAAAACUGUGAACAUGUUUUUUUCCAUUAUCAUUAAGCAUUUGAGAUCUUUUUGAUCUCCCAAAAAAAUCAAUCAUAAAUUGUUAAACAGGAAAAAAUCCUUUAAAGAUAUUGAAGGCAUGUGGUAAUUUGCUCAUGCAUUUGCUCAAGAAACACGAGUCUAGUUCCUCACCAAACAGAAAGCUGAAUGAUUACCAUAAAAAUGUAUGACAUCUAUAAAAGUUAAUAACCAUAACGCCAAAAGCUGGCAAAUAUAAGAGAAGAAUAAAAAUGAAAGCUUCUGCUUCACAACUUCUAUUUGCCUCAUAAUCCAGAAACAAUUUCUUGAGAAGCUGUGAGGAUUCUUUCCAAAUAUUUCAUACUGUUUAUUUAAUAAAUUUAUUACUUAGGGGAAGAACACAGAUAUUAAUUAGGAAAAUUAAUGUGUAUGGUAUGUAUGUGUACAUAUAUAUUUAUAUAAUAGAUAAAUAUAGGUAUAAAUAAAUUACACAUAUUUCAGCAUAUAUUCUCUAUUUCCAUUAGAACUGGCUCUAGCAGAACUAUACUAUUUAUUUGUUUAUAUGUAUAAACAUAUAUCCAUUUAAAACAGGGCUAUAAAACUUAGAGAUCAAAUCUCCUUUCAAUGAAAUCAACACUGUAUAUCAAGCAUCUCUGCAGGUUAUUCUCAAUGCUAAUACUACCCUUAUACAAAAGAAACAUACUGUAUUCUAUUAAUCUUUAAUGGAGUAGUAUCAACCAAGAUCUAGGUCUAGAUUUCUGGCUCUCACAAUAACUAACAUCUCUGCUUGCAAUGUAAAGUAAAUUUCUUAAUAUAUUUGGAAAUUAAUGAGUUAAAUAAAUACGUGUAGAUGUGAAGGUAUGUAGGCACACACAGGUAUUAAAUUAUGCCUAAAACCAUAACUACUGUAAAUAUCAUAGUACCUGAUUUCUCUUAGGCAAAUAUAUAUAUAGGAGUUAAUUAAUAUCCAUAUUAUAGUAUAUGAGUUUUGAGAAAAAAAAAUACAGUGUCUUUAAAAAAGAUAAUUUCUCAUUAGAACAGCUAUCUCCAGAUGAAGUCCUCAAUUUUGUUUAAGUUUCACUCAUUUUGAAAUAUCUUGAAAUUAAGUCAUAUGUUACAGUUAAACAAUAAAAGUGCUUCUUUUAAAUUUGAUAAUGUAAUAAAAGUAUUUCAUAUUUCUUUUAUUAUAAUUAAAUUUUACAUAGGAUUUAUACAUAUAUGACAUAUAUAUGACAGUUAUAUAAAGAAAAAGUCAAAUACUGAAAUGAGUGUCAGGUUGGUUCCUCUCCAACAUAUCAGGCACUCCUCAUGUCACUAAUACACCAAAGUAAUUGAGAGCGGAGUUCCCAUUGUGGUUCAGAAGGUUAAGAACCCAACAUAGUCUCCAUGAAGAUGCAGGUUCAAUCCCCUGGCUACUCAUUGGUUAAGGAUCUGACAUUGCUGCAAGCUUUGCAUAGGCUGCAGAUGCAGCCCAGAUCUGGGGUUGCUGUGGCUGUAGCUUAGGCCUGCAGCUGCAGCUCUUAUUCAACCUCUAGCCCAUCCUGGGAACGUCUACAUGCCUCAAGUGCGGCCAUAAAAACAAAACAUAAAAACAAAACAAACAAAAAAACUGAUGGGAAUAAAUGUGGAAUGGAAGAAGAGGUAUAAAAUUAGUUCACAGGUAAAAAUUUUCUAGCUACAAAGUUUCGGACAAGUUUUUUCCUUUCUUCCCUCCUUCCCUCCCUCCCUCCUUUCUUUCCUCCUUCUUUUAUUCCCCACUUUCCUUCCCUCUUCUUUCCUUUCUUCAUUCCUCCCUCUCAAUGUACAUACACCCUUUUCUUUAAAAGCUGAAAUAAAAAUAAUAGCAUUUCUUAUAAUCAAAUUUUGUAGCAUUUCUUAUAGUGACUUACAAAUAAAAAAACUACCAUAUGACAUGUAAAUAUUGGAGGAAAAUACCUUUCAUUCUCAUCUUUCAUAUCAGAAUUAUAAGUGUAAGUACUUAAAAAAUCCAAUAGCGGGCAUAUUGUCAAAUUCCCUUCUAUAGAUAAAAGGAGAGUAAGAGAUUUACCAGUUAAAUCCUAAUUCUUUUUAUUCUCAAUAUACUUGUCAUGCUUCACUCUUUGACUUUCCAAGUUUUAUUUUUAGCCAUCAUUAUGAAAUCCCUCCUUGCAAAAUUUAAUUACCAAAAUAUCAAGCUUUAUUUUAUUUAUACCUUACUAUAUUCUGUAAUCCAAGCAGAGAUUCCUUCACUUUAGGCAUAUCUGGGCUUCAGCCUCUAUGUAAUUUUUUCCAAAUUCAAUCUCUAGUGUCACAUACCAGUUUGAUCUAUGGUUAACAUUAGUUUUUCAUGCAAAUGAAAAGUACCACAUCACUCAGUUUAUUCAGUGGAACAAUUCUUCAACAGAUUGUUGAUAAAAAUAUCUGAAAAAAAAAAGGCUCAAUUAAAUUAAAAAAAAAUCUUGUUAGCCUUGUGUUUGAAGUAAAUGUUAAAAGUUUUCUUUAAAACUGGAGUUUUUAGGAUACUUUAUAAGAAAGUUUGAAUCUUGUAAGUUGCAUACACAAUAAACUGCAUGCAACAGUUCUGUUCUUGGUGUGGUACCUCCUUUAUUCUUUAAACAAAGCAUGUGAUCUAAUGUUUUGAUAGUACAUUUUGUUGUGAGCCACAAGGGAAGAAAUGAUAGUACAUUUUUGGUCACACUUUAUUAAAACAGUCUAGAAAGAGCUAAUAUUACUUAACAGAUAGAAUUAAUGCACUUAAAUACAUAUUUUAUAUUUCAUGUGCCAUUGACAAAUAUUAGUACAAAUAUCUAUGUUUAAGUGUUUUUAUAUGUUGUAUUUUUCUCCUCUUGUGGUUACAGGAUUCAGAAAGGUCCCAAUUUUACAUAUACACAUACACACCUAUUUUAAUGAUUACUAAUUGCCAAAUCUAAGCAUAUAUAAUUAUUAUUAUAAAAACUAUUAAUUAUCAGACACUGUUUCAGGUUUUUACACAUAAAAUUUCAUUUCAUAGCACCUUUGUGUGAUAGCUGUUCUCAGAACUCUAUGUGAUUAUCCCCAUGUUUACAGGGGGAAAAUAGAACUGUAUAGAUAUAAAACUGCACAUUCAAAACCUCUCGGGUUAAAGUGGCAGAAUGGAACUUGAAUCUAGAUCUCUAUGGUUUAUAGCAUUUCUGUCAAAUGAUUUCAAUACCCUAUGAAAAAGCAAUCAAAGUACCCUAAGCAAGAACACACAUGAUAAAUCAAUUCUGUUCAUCAUUAUAUGAUUAUACGAAAGCUAAACAGAAUAAACUAAAAAUGAUAAUGUAAACUAUUGAAGAUUUGCCAUUUGUUAAUGAUGAUGGAUGUUUCAAAUGCAAUAUUAAACUCCUUUGAGACCAAAUAGAUGGUCUAAGAAUAAACAUCCAUUUCAGAAAGCUUCAAAAUUCCAUGGUAUAUCUUUUACUUGAAUCUUAUCUUUUUAUCACUGUAUUGCAUAUAUUUCAAACAAUUUUUGUUCUCUUUUACUCUCAUUGCCCUUUUUAUCAGCACUAUGUAAUUAUUUUGCUUAAUGUUUUUGAAUUAGUUAUCACUUACAAGACCUUUCCUAUUCAUGGAGAACUUCGUUAAUAAAAGUAUCAAAGGUGUUGGAAGAAUAGCUAACAUCUAUUAUUAAGGGCUUUACAUAAAUUCAUUAUUUUACUCAUCAUUAGCAUUAGUAUCAUUUUACAAUUAAUGGAACUGAAGUGCUAAUGGUACAAUAAGCCAAAAGUUACAUGGCAAGUAUACAGUAAAAAGAGUAAUCCAGACAUUCUCGGUUGUGCACUGACUCUAGCUUCCGCACUGAGCACAGUAAAUACUAAAAUGUGAGCAACAGAAUUUACAUGUGACCCAGCUUUACAUUUUAAAGACUUAUUUUAAGCAAAUUAUCUAUCUAUUCUAUAGACUUUCACCAAAUAAAAAAUCACUAUGAAAGCAGUGAAGCUGCAAUGAAUAUAAAAACGGUGUGACACUAGGCAUUACAAUGAAAUAUUACGUGGGCUAUACAUGUCAAGAGAUCAUAAUAAAAACAAAACUCUUGGGAAAUCUGAUCUAAGAGCUCUGAAACUCAUCUUCAAAUGAAAAACAGUAAUGUCUCUUGUGAGUUUUCUGAAUUUCCAAUUUUCAUUUGUAUGUUUCUAUCCACCUCUUUUAGCCACACUAACUUAGCUGGAAUUAUUAUCAUGAUACUACCAGAUACUGUCUCUUUUGAAAACGUGGACUCUUAGUAAACUUGGAAACAACAGUAACAUUUACUAGGAAUGAAAAAAAAAAAAAACAAAACUAAACUAGCAUCAUUAAACAAUUCCUCUACUAAUAUUAGAAUAAAAGUGGGUACUCCAGCUAGACGCCAGCAGUCAGGGCUGAUUUCUCCCCAGAUAAGUAGAAAAUAAGUUAAAUGGUCAGGGUUUUAAAGGUCUAUGGGGGUUCAAUGACCUUGAUCCUUCUACCUCAGUUUUCUUCAAUCUCAAAAGCAAUCCACUUAAAUCUUCAUUUAUUGCAACAUGGCAGAUUAGAUGUCCAGACUGAUUGUCCUUCUUAAAAAAAUACAUUAAAUGCUGGAUUAAAAUAACUAUUUCUUAAAUCUUGAAUAUAUACAUGAGUUGGGAAGAAAAUAAUUAACACUAAGACUGGGGACUGAAGGAGAUCACAGAGGUGUAUGAAACCAUGAAGUUGGCUUUUGCCUUAGAGACACCUGCUAAGCCAGAGUAUUGGUUCUUAUGGGUCCUUAACUCUGCAACACCAAAAGUUUGUACCUUCAAUAUACAGGUGAACCAGAAAUAUGUUUACUGUCUUUCCUUCUCUAAAAAUGGCUCAAAGUUGAGGAAAAGAAAAAUUUUUCUGAAAACUGAAAAUCAUAAGCCAGAACUCCCUAGGUUCACCAGUAUGGCUAAAUUCCCUACUCUCCAGAUUCCAGGGGGAAAAAAAAGAAAACCUCAAUGUAAUAAUUUAAUUUAAAGAGGUCAAUUUUCAUCAGAACUUCCAGAUAACUGACAAAAAGCAAAGCAAAUUUUUUCAAUUUAUAUCUCAGGUGUCAAGGUAUUUUGAUAGGUAAGAGUUUAAGAAAAUGAACAGCUAACAUUUAAAAAGUCAUGAAAAACAAGAAAACAAAGCACCAUGAGUGACAGCUAGCCAAAACAAAGACAGGAGUAGUAGUGUGAAAAAUUCAGAAAAAAAUUAAGAGAAACAGGAUAUAAAACGUAUAUUCAAAGAAAUAAAAAAGUAGUUCCUGUUGUGUGGUGCAGCGGAAACAAAUCCAACUAGUAUCCAUGAAGAAGCAGUUUGAGCCCUGGCCUCACUCAAUGGGUUGGGGAUCUGCCAUUGCCAUGAGCUGUGGGGUAGGUCAAAGAUACGGCAUGGAUCCUUCAUUGAUGUG
ensembl:lncRNA